rnacentral:tRNA from 1 species
CCGACCUUAGCUCAGUUGGAAGAGCACAAGACUGUAAUAGGAAGCCUAGCAAAUCAAUCUUGGGGUCGCCUGUUCGAACCAGGCAGGUCGGA